CCUACGGGAGGCAGCAGUGAGGAAUAUUGGUCAAUGGGCGGGAGCCUGAACCAGCCAAGUCGCGUGAGGGAAGACGGUCCUAUGGAUUGUAAACCUCUUUAGGCGGGGAGCAAUGCCGGGCACGCGUGCCCGGAGGGAGAGUACCCGCAGAAUACGCAUCGGCAAACUCCGUGCCAGCAGCCGCGGUAAUACGGAGGAUGCGAGCGUUAUCCGGAUUUAGUGGGUUUAAGGGGUGCGUAGGCGGAUUUUUAAGGCAGCGGUAAAAUGUCCGGGCUCAACCCGGGCCGGCCGUUGAAACUGGGGAUCUUGAGUGGGCGAGAAGUAUGCGGAAUGCGUGGUGUAGCGGUGAAAUGCAUAGAUAUCACGCAGAACUCCGAUUGCGAAGGCAGCAUACCGGCGCCCGACUGACGCUGAGGCACGAAAGCGUGGGGAUCGAACAGGAUUAGAUACCCUGGUAGUC
rnacentral:rRNA from 1 species